UACGAAGGGGGCUAGCGUUGUUCGGAAUUACUGGGCGUAAAGCGCACGUAGGCGGAUACUUAAGUUAGGGGUGAAAUCCCAGGGCUCAACCCUGGAACUGCCUUUAAUACUGGGUAUCUCGAGUUCGAGAGAGGUGAGUGGAAUUCCGAGUGUAGAGGUGAAAUUCGUAGAUAUUCGGAGGAACACCAGUGGCGAAGGCGGCUCACUGGUCCAUUACUGACGCUGAGGUGCGAAAGCGUGGGGAGCAAACAGG
rnacentral:rRNA from 1 species